UACGUAGGUGACAAGCGUUGUCCGGAUUUACUGGGCGUAAAGAGCGCGCAGGCGGUCGAUCAAGUCGAGUGUGAAAGCCCCCGGCUCAACUGGGGAGGGUCAUUCGAAACUGGUCGACUCGAAGGCAGGAGAGGGUAGUGGAAUUCCCGGUGUAGUGGUGAAAUGCGUAGAUAUCGGGAGGAACACCAGUGGCGAAGGCGGCGUCCUGGCUCGCAUCUGACGCUCAGACACGACAGCAUGGGGAGCGAACGGG
rnacentral:rRNA from 1 species